rnacentral:rRNA from 1 species
CGCGUAGGCGGCUUGAUAAGUCGGGGGUGAAAGCCUGUGGCUCAACCACAGAAUUGCCUUCGAUACUGUCGAGCUUGAGACCGGAAGAGGUAAGUGGAACUGCGAGUGUAGAGGUGAAAUUCGUAGAUAUUCGCAAGAACACCAGUGGCGAAGGCGGCUUACUGGUCCGGUUCUGACGCUGAGGCGCGAAAGCGUGGGGAGCAAACA